GACCCGAUGGCACAGCUGGUUAGUGCGUCUGCUAAACUUGCUGCAUCUGAGUUUUGGGUCAGCAGGAGGCCACUGUUCGAUCCGGGUCGGGUCA